GUCUUUUUGUAAUAUAUUUAAAGUCUAACCUGCCCACUGAAAAAUUUAAAGGGCCGCGGUAUUUUGACCGUGCAAAGGUAGCAUAAUCAUUAGUCUUUUAAUUGAAGGCUUGUAUGAAUGGUUGGACGUAGUAUUAGCUGUCUCAUAAAAAAUUUAAAUAGAAUUUAACUUUUUAAUUAAAAGGUUAAAAUAAAUUUAAAAGACGAGAAGACCCCAUAGAGCUUUAUAAUAAUUAAAUAUAAUUUAUUUAGAAAAAUUAAAAUAAUAUUUUUUUUAUUAUUUUGUUGGGGUGACAAUAAAAUUAAAUAAACUUUUAUUAAUUAUAAACAUUAAUUUAUGAAUAAUUGAUCCAGUUAUAUUGAUUAUAAAAUUAAGUUACCUUGGGGAUAACAGCGUAAUUUUUUUUAAGAGUUCAUAUCGACAAAAAAGAUUGCGACCUCGAUGUUGGAUUAAGGGUAUUUUUGGGUGUAGAAGUUCAAAGUUUAGGUCUGUUCGACCUUUGAAUCCUUACAU
rnacentral:rRNA from 1 species